ncrna:unclassified sequences Rhodo-rpoB RNA
AGGUCGGGAGCUGCACAGUGGGAUGUGUGGCAAGAAUAGACCUCUCUAUCGCUGUCUCGUAGGGAUUAGCGCCGUGGCCCGACGGUGCUCG